GUAGUCUCGCACAGAUGCAUAUCAAUAAGCGGAGGAAAAGAAACUAACAAGGAUUCCCCUAGUAACGGCGAGUGAAGCGGGAAGAGCUCAAAUUUGAAAUCUUAAAGGGUUUCCCUUUACGAAUUGUAGUUUAAAGAAGUGUUUUCUGUUGAGGUUUUGGUAAAAGUUCUUUGGAAUAGGACAUCAUAGAGGGUGAGAAUCCCGUAUUUGACCUUUACUUUCAACUUUGUGAUACACUUUCAAAGAGUCGGAUUGUUUGGGAAUGCAGUCCAAAAUGGGUGGUAAAUUUCAUCUAAAGCUAAAUAUUGGCGAGAGACCGAUAGCGAACAAGUACCGUGAGGGAAAGAUGAAAAGAACUUUGAAAAGAGAGUUAAACAGUACGUGAAAUUGUCAAAAGGGAAGCGUUUGACACCAGUGUUGUUUUUCUGAAAAUCAAUUAAAGAACUGUUUAUGCUAAGCUGUUUCAGACUUUAUCAGCUAAUCUGUUUAGUUUUGAGCUUUUCUUUAAUGCACUUUUCAGUUAACAAGUCAACAUCAAUUUCUUUUGCUGUAAAAAAGCUUGAGGAAGGUGGCUUGAGAUUCGUCUUAAGUGUUUAUAGCCUCUUGCCUAUGCAGUCGGAGAGAUUGAGGUCUGCAGCGUAGAUCCUUCGGGGCUAAAUGCAUUUGUGCUAAGUUAUAGCAUUUUAUAGACAACUUGUUGACUAUGAUCUUGUCUUGUAGCUUACUCGCUUAUGUUAUUUUACCUACGCUUAGGAUGUUGAAGACUCUACAGAGAU
rnacentral:rRNA from 1 species